AGAACUACCACCAAAAGUUUUUGAUGAAUUGACUCAGCUACAGAACUUGGGUGUAAACGACAACGAGCUCCAUACGUUGCAGGAGGGAAUAUUCGACAACCUGACCAACUUAACUGGACUGUAUAUCUUCAACAACAAACUUAGCAGCCUUCAUGCAGGAAUAUUCAAGACCUUGAAGUCCUUGGAAUUUUUGGAUCUGUCGAACAACGAAAUUAAAAAUCUACCCCAAGGACUUUUCCAAGGUUUAAAGAAGCUUGAAAAGCU